AGGCAGCAGUUUCGAAUUAUUCACAAUGGGCGAAAGCCUGAUCGUGUGCGACGCCGCGUGAGGGAUGAAGGUCUUCGGAUCGUAAACCUCUGUCACCGGGGAAGAAUGGCCAUGACCUAACACGUCAUGGAUUGACUUAACCCGGAGAGGAAGCAGUGGCUAACUCUGUGCCAGCAGCCGCGGUAAUACAGAGACUGCAAGCGUUAUUCGGAUUCACUGGGCGUAAAGGGUGCGCAGGCGGUUAUGUGUGUUAGAUGUGAAAGCCCGAGGCUCAACCUCGGAAUUGCGUCUAAAACUACAUGACUAGAGUACCGGAGAGGAUAGCGGAAUUCACGGUGUAGCAGUGAAAUGCGUAGAUAUCGUGAAGAACACCAGCGGCGAAGGCGGCUAUCUGGAAGGUAACUGACGCUCAGGCACGAAAGCGUGGGGAGCAAAAGGGACAUAUGGUAUUGACGGGGGCCCGCACAAGCGGUGGAGCAUGUGGCUCAAUUCGAUGCAACGCGAAGAACCUUACCAGGCCUUGACAUGCAUUGGACCGUCGCAGAAAGGCGACUUUCCCGCAAGGGACCGAUGCACAGGUGCUGCAUGGCUGUCGUCAGCUCGUGUCGUGAGAUGUUGCCUUAAGUGGCGCAACGAGCGCAACCCCUGUCCUUAGUUGCCAUCAUUCAGUUGGGCACUCUAAGGGGACAAACCUCUUUUAGAGGUGGGAAGGUGGGGAUGACGUCAAGUCAGGAUGGCCCUUACGGCCUGGGCUGCACACGUGCUACAAUGCUCGGUACAGAGGGAAGCAAGACCGCGAGGUGGAGCGAAUCCUCAAAGCCGAGCCCAGUUCAGAUUGGAGUCUGCAACUCGACUCCAUGAGGCCGGAAUCGCUAGUAAUGGCGCAUCAGCUACGGCGCCGUGAAUACGUUCCCGGGCCUUGUACACACCGCC
rnacentral:rRNA from 1 species